rnacentral:rRNA from 1 species
CGUAGGGCGCAAGCGUUGUCCGGAAUUAUUGGGCGUAAAGAGCUCGUAGGCGGUUUAUCACGUCGGCUGUGAAAUCCCCGAGGCUUAACCUCGGGCCUGCAGUCGAUACGGGUUGACUAGAGUGAAGCAGGGGAGACUGGAAUUCCUGGUGUAGCGGUGAAAUGCGCAGAUAUCAGGAGGAACACCGGUGGCGAAGGCGGGUCUCUGGGCUUUAACUGACGCUGAGGAGCGAAAGCGUGGUAGCGAACAGGAUU